AUAUGAAGUAUAAAUAUUGCUAUAGUUACUUACAAGGUAUCAGUGUAUACAUCAAGAUCGAACUAAACAAACCUUAACGGCAUAAAAUAUGAAAUCUUUUGCAAUAUUUAUCGUCCUUUUUGCGUUCAUCGUUCUAAGUUUAGCUGGUGGACAUGAUGAUGAUUACUAUAGGAGUUCUCAUGACGACUCUAAAAAGGUGGUCUACGUAGAAAAGCAAUCCGGAUACCACCGGCCCAGUUACAAAAUUAUAGAAAAAGAACCAGAAUACAAGAAGGUAGUUUAUAAAUAUGUAAAGCCAGAGGAAAAGAAGGUUCAAGUUAAUGUUAAAGUGAUCAAACAAAAAGAACAGGAUGAUGAUGUUGCGUACAAAUACAUUGAGAAGAAGUACCAUCAUUAAUACUUUUAUUAGAUUUGAUUGCAAUCUUAUUAAAUAAAUAUGUUUAAAAGGUUUAAAUAAAUUAAAUUAUUAUUACAUUUUGGAGAUGAUAAAGUUUUACAGAUUUGUUACUAUAUUUGUAUCUAAAUUUCUAAUAAAAGCAUGUUUUGCCUAAAUCCAAA